rnacentral:rRNA from 1 species
GAUGAACGCUGGCGGCACGCUUAACACAUGCAAGUCGAGCGAGAGAGUUUUGCGGAAAGGCUUCGGCCUGGAAGGGAAAUGAUCUAGCGGCGGACGGGUGAGUAACACGUGGGUAACCUACCCUAUACAGGGGGAUAACGUAUAGAAAUGUACGCUAAUACCGCAUAAGCCUACAGGUUCGCAUGAACUAGUAGGAAAAGCCGAGACGGUAUAGGAUGGGCCCGCGACUGAUUAGCUAGUUGGGGAGGUAAAGGCUUACCAAGGCAACGAUCAGUAGCCGGUCUGAGAGGAUGGACGGCCACAUUGGGACUGAGACACGGCCCAG